rnacentral:rRNA from 1 species
UCGAGCAGGUGCGAAAGCAGGUCAUAGUGAUCCGGUGGUUCUGAAUGGAAGGGCCAUCGCUCAACGGAUAAAAGGUACUCCGGGGAUAACAGGCUGAUACCGCCCAAGAGUUCAUAUCGACGGCGGUGUUUGGCACCUCGAUGUCGGCUCAUCACAUCCUGGGGCUGAAGUCGGUCCCAAGGGUAUGGCUGUUCGCCAUUUAAAGUGGUACGCGAGCUGGGUUUAGAACGUCGUGAGACAGUUCGGUCCCUAUCUGCCGUGGGCGUUGGAUGAUUGAGAGGGGCUGCUCCUAGUACGAGAGGACCGGAGUGGACGAACCGCUGGUGUUCGGGUUGUGUCGCCAGACGCAUUGCCCGGUAGCUAAGUUCGGAAUCGAUAACCGCUGAAAGCAUCUAAGCGGGAAGCGAGCCUCAAGAUGAGUCAUCCCUAGACCUUUAAGGUCUCUAAAGGGUUGUUGAAGACUACAACGUUGAUAGGUCGGGUGUGUAAGUGCUGUGAGGCAUUGAGCUAACCGAUACUAAUUGCCCGUGAGGCUUAACCAUACAACACCCAAGGGGUUU